GCUUGACCUUUAACCCGGGGGCCGCCCCGCCCCCAGGCGGCGCUCCGCUCGGCCCAAGAUGGUGGCGUCCGUGUGCGGCGGGGGGCUACGGCCGCUGGUGCUGUCGUGGAGCCGGGAGCUGCCCUGCGCCUGGCGCGCCUUGCACAUCUCCGCGGUCUGCGCCAAGAACCGGGCGGCCCGAGUCCGAGUGAGCAAGGGGGAUAAGCCAGUGACCUAUGAGGAGGCGCACGCGCCUCACUACAUCGCGCACCGCAAGGGCUGGCUGUCGCUGCACACAGGAAAUUCUCCCAGGAUGAAUAUUCUGUCAAUCAAGCUAUCUGGAAUGAGUUUACAAGCAUUCAUGAGACAGAGGCAGCCUAACUCGUUAGCUGGUGAGUGGGGUGAAGCCUCCGAUCCUCCACAGCUCCGGACCGAAGGCACCGAUGUCCCCAUGGUCAUCAUGCUGAAAGUGCACCAUACACGGGAUGCGCUCCUUCAAAAGGACCGGUGCUGCCUCGACUUGAGAAAAGAUGCCAGGAAGAAGAACCUGAGAGGAGCUUAGUAAACAGAUGAGCCGGUCCCAGCAGGAUGCCCGCUUCCUUGUUCACCUUGAGAUUCUCAGUAAUGUCUAAGUCCCCCAAAGCCACUCUGCAAGGACCAGAUUCUGCCCUUGGAGUAAAGAGGUCACCUGUCACCAAGGGAACCGGAUGGCCAGGAACACCAGGCGGCUUUGGGGAUCAGCAGGUUUCUGCUGGAAGAGGCCUUCCUCCUCUCAUCCCUGGCUCCAUGUGUCAGAAUUGAAUCACACCAGGGCAUUCACGGACCUAGAAUUCAAUUACCUGUCAUAUUAUUAUUCAACCAUUUCCUCCUUUCCUUGGUAAAUUUAAUUUUUCCUUAUUCUAAUGAAGCUCUCUGGAAAAAUCAAAUCAGUGCUUUAUUUUAAUGAGCGCGAUCAUCCCGUGAUGGACGAGGCACAGAAAGCCCGUGGCUUUGGUGGAAGUUCCGUGAGCUGGCAGGUGGUGCCAGGUCUGCGUCACCUCUGUCCUUGGGGGAAGGGCUGAGCUUCGCACAGGGCAAGUCCACCGUGGUCAGCCGUGGACUCUCAGGGCCCAGGAGGGCCAGAAUGUGAAAGAAUCCAAAUUAUCGUAGCAUUUUCCCAAAAAGCAAUAGAAAACUUUAACUCAGUCAUAGCCUUCUAUGCUUCUAUUCUCUAGAAAUUCAGGAAUUACAUUUAUAGAAGAAUGUAUUCUACAAUCGGUUCGUCCUCACAAAGCAGGUCAUUUCAAAUCAGCCCAUUUACAGAGUUGUUUGUUUGUUUUGUUUUUUUGGUCUUUUUACCACCCCACCUGCGGCACAUGGAAGUUCCCAGGCUAGGAGUCAA